rnacentral:rRNA from 1 species
AGAGUUUGAUCAUGGCUCAGAAUCAACGCUGGCGGCGUGCCUAACACAUGCAAGUCGAACGAGAAAGUGGUAGCAAUACCAUGAGUAAAGUGGCGCACGGGUGAGUAACACGUGACUAACCUACCCUGGAGUGGGGGAUAACUGAGGGAAACCUUAGCUAAUACCGCAUAAUACCCACGGGUCAAAGGAGCAAUUCGCUCUGGGAGGGGGUCGCGGCCGAUUAGUUAGUUGGCGGGGUAACGGCCCACCAAGACGAUGAUCGGUAUCCGGCCUGAGAGGGCGCACGGACACACUGGAACUGAAACACGGUCCAGACUCCUACGGGAGGCAGCAGUGGGGAAUUUUGCGCAAUGGGGGAAACCCUGACGCAGCAACGCCGCGUGGAGGAUGAAGUCCUUCGGGACGUAAACUCCUUUCGAUCGGGACGAUUAUGACGGUACCGGAAGAAGAAGCCCCGGCUAACUUCGUGCCAGCAGCCGCGGUAAUACGAGGGGGGCGAGCGUUGUUCGGAAUUAUUGGGCGUAAAGGGUGCGUAGGCGGUUUUGUAAGUCUUAUGUGAAAUCUAUGGGCUCAACUCAUAGACUGCAUGAGAAACUGCAGGGCUCGAGUGUGGGAGAGGUGAGUGGAAUUUCCGGUGUAGCGGUGAAAUGCGUAGAUAUCGGAAGGAACACCUGUGGCGAAAGCGGCUCACUGGACCACAACUGACGCUGAUGCACGAAAGCUAGGGGAGCAAACAGGAUUAGAUACCCCCGUAGUCC